GUCUACGGCCAUGCUACCCUCAACGCACCCGGUCUCCUCCAAUCUCGGAAGUUAAGCAGGAUCGGGCCUGGUUAGUACUUGGAUGAGAGAAUGUCACAUAGAAACCCUGCCUGUGUUUCCA
rnacentral:rRNA from 1 species